rnacentral:tRNA from 2 species
AAUAAAAUGGCUGAGUUUAAGCGAUAAAUUGUAAAUUUAUUAACGGGAAAUUUCUCUUUUAUUA